UUACUUAGCUGGACAGGAUCAAUGGGUUAUCAAUGAGGCCUAUGGUCUAGGUUGGUGACCUCCAUUGCACUUGGCCACUUGGGAAGGGUGCGAGCCUAAGGUCGGUCCAAGUGGUAGAGCCUACGUCAUAAUUUGUACUGAUACUAACUUUUUUGUGUGUAUUAA